AGAGUUUGAUCCUGGCUCAGAUUGAACGCUGGCGGCAUGCCUUACACAUGCAAGUCGAACGGUAGAGUAGCAAUACUUGAGAGUGGCGAACGGGUGAGUAAUAUAUCGGAACGUGCCCAAUCGUGGGGGAUAACGUAGCGAAAGUUACGCUAAUACCGCAUACGAUCUACGGAUGAAGGCGGGGGAUCGCAAGACCUCGCGCGAAUGGAGCGGCCGAUAUCAGAUUAGCUAGUUGGCGGGGUAAAAGCCCACCAAGGCAACGAUCUGUAGCUGGUCUGAGAGGACGACCAGCCACACUGGGACUGAGACACGGCCCAGACUCCUACGGGAGGCAGCAGUGGGGAAUUUUGGACAAUGGGCGCAAGCCUGAUCCAGCAAUGCCGCGUGCAGGACGAAGGCCUUCGGGUUGUAAACUGCUUUUGUACGGAACGAAACGGUCCUUUCUAAUACAGGGGGCUAAUGACGGUACCGUAAGAAUAAGCACCGGCUAACUACGUGCCAGCAGCCGCGGUAAUACGUAGGGUGCGAGCGUUAAUCGGAAUUACUGGGCGUAAAGCGUGCGCAGGCGGUUAUAUAAGACAGUUGUGAAAUCCCCGGGCUUAACCUGGGAACUGCAUCUGUGACUGUAUAGCUAGAGUACGGCAGAGGGGGAUGGAAUUCCGCGUGUAGCGGUGAAAUGCGUAGA
rnacentral:rRNA from 1 species